CGCAGCUCCUCUUCACCCUCAGACGACAACCCGAGCGAACUGAUUGCAAGAACGAGAUUUGCUUGCUAGCAAUCUGCUCGAGUGUCGAGGAUUCCUGUCAUGAUAGAAUUCCAAAACGUUACUUCAAGAUGAACAAUUGCAUGGCAACCAUCAUUUCAAUCGCCCUCCUUCUGGGUAACUCUGUCAAGCUCCGAGCUUCCGAUUAUACUGGGCCGGUUCCCUC